rnacentral:rRNA from 1 species
GAUGAACGCUGGCGGCGUGCUUAACACAUGCAAGUCGAACGAUGAAGCCCAGCUUGCUGGGUGGAUUAGUGGCGAACGGGUGAGUAACACGUGAGUAACCUGCCCUUGACUCUGGGAUAAGCCUGGGAAACUGGGUCUAAUACUGGAUAUGACUUCUCAUCGCAUGGUGGGGGGUGGAAAGAUUUUUUGGUCUUGGAUGGACUCGCGGCCUAUCAGCUUGUUGGUGAGGUAAUGGCUCACCAAGGCGACGACGGGUAGCCGGCCUGAGAGGGUGACCGGCCACACUGGGACUGAGACACGGCCCAGACUCCUACGGGAGGCAGCAGUGGGGAAUAUUGCACAAUGGGCGCAAGCCUGAUGCAGCGACGCCGCGUGAGGGAUGACGGCCUUCGGGUUGUAAACCUCUUUCAGUAGGGAAGAAGCGAGAGUGACGGUACCUGCAGAAGAAGCGCCGGCUAACUACGUG